rnacentral:rRNA from 1 species
AUACAGAGGGUGCAAGCGUUAUUCGGAAUUACUGGGCGUAAAGCGCGCGUAGGCGGAUGAUUAAGUCAGUUGUGAAAGCCCUGGGCUCAACCUAGGAACUGCAUCUGAUACUGGUCGUCUAGAGUUUAAGAGAGGGAAGUGGAAUUCCAGGUGUAGCAGUGAAAUGCGUAGAUAUCUGGAGGAACAUCAGUGGCGAAGGCGACUUCCUGGCUUAAAACUGACGCUGAGGUGCGAAAGCGUGGGUAGCGAACGGGAUUAGAAACCCGAGUAGUAC